rnacentral:rRNA from 1 species
AGAGUUUGAUUCAUGGCUCAGGAUGAACGCUGGCGGCGUGCCUAAUACAUGCAAGUCGAGCGAACGGACGAGAAGCUUGCUUCUCUGAUGUUAGCGGCGGACGGGUGAGUAACACGUGGAUAACCUACCUAUAAGACUGGGAUAACUUCGGGAAACCGGAGCUAAUACCRGAUAAUAUUUUGAACCGCAUGGUUCAAAAGUGAAAGACGGUCUUGCUGUCACUUAUAGAUGGAUCCGCGCUGCAUUAGCUAGUUGGUAAGGUAACGGCUUACCAAGGCAACGAUGCAUAGCCGACCUGAGAGGGUGAUCGGCCACACUGGAACUGAGACACGGUCCAGACUCCUACGGGAGGCAGCAGUAGGGAAUCUUCCGCAAUGGGCGAAAGCCUGACGGAGCAACGCCGCGUGAGUGAUGAAGGUCUUCGGAUCGUAAAACUCUGUUAUUAGGGAAGAACAUAUGUGUAAGUAACUGUGCACAUCUUGACGGUACCUAAUCAGAAAGCCACGGCUAACUACGUGCCAGCAGCCGCGGUAAUACGUAGGUGGCAAGCGUUAUCCGGAAUUAUUGGGCGUAAAGCGCGCGUAGGCGGUUUUUUAAGUCUGAUGUGAAAGCCCACGGCUCAACCGUGGAGGGUCAUUGGAAACUGGAAAACUUGAGUGCAGAAGAGGAAAGUGGAAUUCCAUGUGUAGCGGUGAAAUGCGCAGAGAUAUGGAGGAACACCAGUGGCGAAGGCGACUUUCUGGUCUGUAACUGACGCUGAUGUGCGAAAGCGUGGGGAUCAAACAGGAUUAGAUACCCUGGUAGUCCACGCCGUAAACGAUGAGUGCUAAGUGUUAGGGGGUUUCCGCCCCUUAGUGCUGCAGCUAACGCAUUAAGCACUCCGCCUGGGGAG